rnacentral:lncRNA from 1 species
UGGGUUCGCAAUACCUCCAGCCUAUAAGACAGAGUAUAAAAACAGCUUCGUCAGCCUCAUCACCAACGCUUAACUCCACAGGGUAUCAAAAUUCAAAACUUUCUAAAUGAAUAAACAGAAACAAAAUAAUCUUACAUUAACAAACAAAAACAGAAACAACAAACGAAACCAAAAUCAUCUAAAUCGUUCUAAAUUAGCAUACGAAACCAAAAUCAUCAUCUAUCAAUAAAAAAAUAACAAAAAAAAAACAGAGCCAAAAUCAUCUAAGCUUUUUAAAUCAAUAAACAAUACCCAAAUCA